UACAGAGGGUGCAAGCGUUGUUCGGAAUUAUUGGGCGUAAAGCGCGUGUAGGCGGCUUUGCAAGUCGGGUGUGAAAGCCCUCAGCUCAACUGAGGAAGUGCGCCCGAAACUGCAGAGCUUGAGUGCCGGAGAGGAUGGCGGAAUUCCCCAAGUAGAGGUGAAAUUCGUAGAUAUGGGGAGGAACACCGGUGGCGAAGGCGGCCAUCUGGACGGUGACUGACGCUGAGACGCGAAAGCGUGGGGAGCAAACAGGG
rnacentral:rRNA from 1 species